UACGUAGGGACCAAGCGUUGUCCGGAAUCAUUGGGCGUAAAGAGCGUGUAGGCGGCUUGUUAAGUCUUGCGUGAAAUCUCGGGGCUCAACCCCGAGCGGUCGUGAGAAACUGGCAGGCUAGAGUCCGGAAGAGGAGAGUGGAAUUCCUGGUGUAGCGGUGAAAUGCGCAGAUAUCAGGAAGAACACCCGUGGCGAAGGCGGCUCUCUGGGACGGUACUGACGCUGAGACGCGAAAGCGUGGGGAGCGAACAGG
rnacentral:rRNA from 1 species